GUAUACGAAAAGUUGACAAAAACAGCUAGAAAGAGUAGUGUCGAACACGAGAAAUUCGGCGUGAAUAUGGGGGGACCACCCCCCAAGGCUAAAUACUACCAUGUGACCGAUAGAGGAUAGUACCGUGAGGGAAAGGUGAAAAGAACCCCGGAAGGGGAGUGAAAUAGAAUCUGAAACCUUGUGCUUACAAUCAGUGGAAGCAGACAG
rnacentral:rRNA from 1 species